UGUAAGUGACCAAACUGGGUGGUCUAAUCCCCCCUGGCCAAACUAGUACAGACAGCCUUUAAAGAACCCUUUUGGAGCCAGAAGGAUGUUGACUCCUGUACUUUAAUACAAAGUUAAUGCCCUUCUGGCUCCAAACCGACAAUUUUCUCUGACAGAGAAAUGUAUAUUUGGCUGGCCGAUUGGUAGGCUCCAUGCAUGGAACUUAAACUAUUUUAUCAUCAAAUUGUCUUAAAGGGGCCGUUUGUUAAGAAGACAGAAUUAAAAUAAAUUGUCAUAUUUAGAUGUUUAUGUUUAAUCCCAAUAUGAUUCUGUAAUGCAGUUGAAUGCUACUUUUCAAACACCCAACAGUAGAUGGCCCGACAUAUGCUCUGGCGACAACUACUCCAGGCUUCAUUUCGUCAAAAGGUAUAUUGGGUAGCAAUUAGGUAUCGGGUUAGCUUUAGGAUAAGGGUUAUAUGGUUUGGUAUUUUUGUGGGUCUCGGGUUAGAAGUUUGAGAAUUGUAGUAGUGUUUGGAUAUUGACCACCGAGCAAAUCUCGCUGGAGCACGUGUCAGACAUACACCUGAAUGGUAAAAUGAAACUUUGUUGAUAUUUUAGUCUGUGCCUUUUGAACUGGUUUUUAUGGAAAGCUGUGUUUUCUUAUGCAUGAUUUUUACCCCCACAUUUUCAAUUCACAUGCAGUCCCACAUAGCUCAUGAUAUAUAAAUCAUAUGCCUUUUUAUGUUGGAUUUCUGUGGGUUAAGAUUGUGUUACACACAAACUAAAUCUAAAAUGGCCUUUCAAGUGAAACUGAAACAUUUUCUCUGUUGAGAGUCAGAAAGGUGUCAUCUAUACUUUUCAUUUCCUUUUUUGUUGUUGCAUAGAAUAGAUGUCUCUGAAAAGACAGAAAAGCACCAUUUAAAGACUUUGUAAGCAAUAUGGAGAUAUUUUGCACUAACAUUUCAGUAUGUGGUUUAACUUCUAAACUUAUUUGAUAAGUAAAGAGCACAAGAUAUUUGGCCUGUCUGGAUUUAGUGCAUUGUAGGAUGUAUACAUAGUAGAAGAAAAGAUAGAAAUGUGGUAUUACUAUUAGAAGCAGGCUUUUUGACCUUCUUUCCAAAAGAUGAAACAGUUAAUUGCCAAUAGACUGCAUGAUUGAGAACACUCAUGCAGUGUAAGUAGUAGUGGUAGUAGUAGUAGUAGUAGUAGUAGUAGUAGUACAUGUAGUAGUAGUAAACUCGUAAUAGAAGUAUUCGUAGCGGUUAUAGUAUUUUUAGUGGUUGUAGUAUUUAUAGCAGUUGUUAUAGUGUCAAUAUUUGUAGUCAGCCUACAUAAUUGUAGUAGCAGAAGUAUUUUAAAGCUAGCGGCCAACAGAAACGGAACCUUGGUUUUGAAAGAGACCUAAAAGCAAUGUAAUAUUUAUCUCAAGUAAAUACAUAUUCAUUGUGUGUAAUAUCCAUAUUUUGCAUCAAAGAACAAAUUGGUCUGCAAAAAAGAAAUAUUCAUGUAUAUUUUUUGUACCAUUAACAAAAAAACCUGCAAAUCAUGUAAUUGUUAUGGUCAGUAUCACAUUUAAUUUCGACUCAUUGGACAGUGUCCACUCCCAACUGAUUAAAUUUCUGAACGUAUAAUACUGUUGAGAGGGAUCUGAUGUAUAUGAGGUAGUGAUUUAAUGUCUAUGUGGCUCCAAACCGACAAUAAUAGACCUGUAUUUGGACAGAAAUUGUGGGUAUAUGUAAUAUCAUUCCAGUUAGAACACAAAGCAUUAAGUUGGAGUAGAAAUAAUUUGAAAUAUACCCUGUAUUGUAUAGGCAAUAUUAUAUCCAAAUCUACACGAAGACAGUAAUGAAUAGGUGAUUAUUUAUUUUCUGGUAAACUGUGUAAUAUAUAUAUCAAAUAUAGUUACUCAAAUAUAUUUCUAUGUUGUCAAAUUUUUGUCAUGUUGUCAAAUGUAUUGCUUUUAUUAAAAAACGUCUAUUGUCAUGCUCGCCAA
rnacentral:lncRNA from 1 species